UCUUGACAUCCAGAGAACUUUCCAGAGAUGGAUUGGUGCCUUCGGGAACUCUGAGACAGGUGCUGCAUGGCUGUCGUCAGCUCGUGUUGUGAAUGUUGGUUAAGUCCGCAACGAGCGCAACCCCUAUCCUUUGUUGCCAGCGAUUCGGUCGGGAACUCAAAGGAGACUGCCGGUGAUAAACCGGAGGAAGGUGGGGAUGACGUCAAGUCAUCAUGGCCCUUACGAGUAGGGCUACACACGUGCUACAAUGGCGUAUACAAAGAGAAGCGACCUCGCGAGAGCAAGCGGACCUCAUAAAGUACGUCGUAGUCCGGAUUGGAGUCUGCAACUCGACUCCAUGAAGUCGGAAUCGCUAGUAAUCGUAGAUCAGAAUGCUACGGUGAAUACGUUCCCGGGCCUUGUACACACCGCCCGUCACACCAUGGGAGUGGGUUGCAAAAGAAGUAGAUAGCUUAACCUUCGGGAGGGCGUUUACCACUUUGUGAUUCAUGACUGGGGUGAAGUCGUAACAAGGUAAGCGUAGCGAG
rnacentral:rRNA from 1 species